CUGUGGUGUAUCACAGAAGAAUUGCUUAGCACAUGUGCAAUUGGUAUUUUAUAUUUGGUUUGGAUCACUAUUCUGAAGCCAGGGGAAGAAAUAAUAAGUUUGUGAGCUUACUGUGGUAUGCCAUUGUUGAUAGGAAAUAUUGCCCAUUAUAGUAAUAAUACUGUUCUUCGCUUCUUGCAAUAAACUAGUUACCAAGACAUGGGUGUUGAGGAUUUACCAAUUUUUCUCUGGGUUUAUUUCCAUUUGCUACGAAACAUAGGGUGUUAGGAUUUACCAGAUUUUCUUGAAUUUAAGCUGAUUUGAAAGUUGAAACCAGGUAUCCAUUUUUUU
rnacentral:lncRNA from 7 species